rnacentral:rRNA from 1 species
CAGCCGCCACGGUAAUACGAAGGGGGCUAGCGUUGCUCGGAAUGACUGGGCGUAAAGGGCGCGUAGGCGGAUUGUACAGUCAGACGUGAAAUUCCUGGGCUCAACCUGGGGACUGCGUUUGAGACGUGCGAUCUAGAGUUUGGAAGAGGGUCGUGGAAUUCCCAGUGUAGAGGUGAAAUUCGUAGAUAUUGGGAAGAACACCGGUGGCGAAGGCGGCGACCUGGUCCUUGACUGACGCUGAGGCGCGAAAGCGUGGGGAGCAAACAGGAUUAGAUACCCGCGUAGUCCCUGUCUCUUAUAC